AGCAGCCGCGGUAAUUCCAGCUCCAAUAGCGUAUAUUAAAGUUGCUGCAGUUAAAAAGCUCGUAGUUGAAUUUCGGGACCAUCAUGUCGGUCGUGCCUCGGUACGUACUGGCAUUGUUGGUUUCUCCCUUCUGACGAACCAUGAUGUCAUUUAUUUGGUGUUGUGGGAAAUCAGGACUGUUACUUUGAAAAAAUUAGAGUGUUUAAAGCAGGCUCACGCUUGAAUACAUUAGCAUGGAAUAAUGAAAUAGGACGUUUGAUUCUAUUUUGUUGGUUUCUAGGAUCGACGUAAUGAUUAAUAGGGAUAGUUGGGGGCAUUAGUAUUCAAUUGUCAGAGGUGAAAUUCUUGGAUUUAUUGAAGACUAACUACUGCGAAAGCAUUUGCCAAGGAUGUUUUCAUUAAUCAAGAACGAAAGUUAGGGGGUCGAAGACGAUCAGAUACCGUCGUAGU
rnacentral:rRNA from 1 species